rnacentral:misc_RNA from 1 species
GAACGCAUAUUGCGCCCUUUGGUAUUCCGGAGGGCAUGCCUGUCCGAGCGUCAUUACUAUCUUCAAGCACGGCUUGUGUGUUGAGCAUUUGUUCUUUAAUGGACAAGCUUGAAAUGCAGUGGCAAUGCUGCGUCUGGUGCCCGAGCGUUAUAGGGCUUUGUCACCCGCUCCGUUGGCUCCAGCCAGCAUUUUUUGGCCAUAAAACUUUUUUUUUUUUAAAAAAAAAAUAUCAAAACUGACCUCGGAUCAGGCAAGAAUACCCGCUGAACUUA